rnacentral:rRNA from 1 species
GACGAACGCUGGCGGCGUGCUUAACACAUGCAAGUCGAACGGAAAGGCCCUGCUUGCAGGGUACUCGAGUGGCGAACGGGUGAGUAACACGUGGGUGAUCUGCUCUGCACUUCGGGAUAAGCUUGGGAAACUGGGUCUAAUACCGGAUAGGAACCAUCUUUAGUGUGGUGGUUGGAAAGUUUUUUCGGUGUAGGAUGAGCUCGCGGCCUAUCAGCUUGUUGGUGGGGUAAUGGCCUACCAAGGCGGCGACGGGUAGCCGGCCUGAGAGGGUGUACGGCCACAUUGGGACUGAGAUACGGCCCAGACUCCUACGGGAGGCAGCAGUGGGGAAUAUUGCACAAUGGGCGCAAGCCUGAUGCAGCGACGCCGCGUGGGGGAUGAAGGCCUUCGGGUUGUAAACUCCUUUCGCUAGGGACGAAGCUUUUUGUGACGGUACCUAGAUAAGAAGCACCGGCUAACUACGUG